rnacentral:rRNA from 1 species
AAACCAACCGGGAUUGCCUCAGUAACGGCGAGUGAAGCGGCAAAAGCUCAAAUUUGAAAUCUGGCACUUUCAGUGUCCGAGUUGUAAUUUGUAGAAGUAGUUUUGGGACUGGUCCUUAUCUAUGUUUCUUGGAACAGGACGUCAUAGAGGGUGAGAACCCCGUAUGAUGAGGCCCCCAGUCCUUUGUAAAACGCUUUCGAAGAGUCGAGUUGUUUGGGAAUGCAGCUCUAAGUGGGUGGUAAAUUCCAUCUAAAGCUAAAUAUUGGCGAGAGACCGAUAGCGAACAAGUACAGUGAUGGAAAGAUGAAAAGAACUUUGAAAAGAGAGUGAAAAAGUACGUGAAAUUGUUGAAAGGGAAGGGCAUUUGAUCAGACAUGGUGUUUUGCGCCCUUUGCUCCUUGUGGGCGGAGGAUACGCAGCUCACUGGGCCAACAUCAGUUUUGGGAGCAGGAUAAAUCUGUAGGAACGUAGCUUUCUUCGGGAAGUGUUAUAGCCUAUGGGAAUACUGCUACCUGGGACUGAGGACUGCGUCUUUGACAAGGAUGUU